CGCUGCCUACGGGGGGCAGCAGUGGGAAAUAUUGCACAAUGGGGGAAACCCUGAUGCAGCGACGCCGCGUGAGCGAAGAAGUAUUUCGGUAUGUAAAGCUCUAUCAGCAGGGAAGAAAAUGACGGUACCUGACUAAGAAGCUCCGGCUAAAUACGUGCCAGCAGCCGCGGUAAUACGUAGGUGGCAAGCGUUGUCCGGAUUUACUGGGUGUAAAGGGCGUGCAGCCGGGCUGACAAGUCAGAUGUGAAAUCCCGCGGCUCAACCGCGGAACUGCAUUUGAAACUGUUAGUCUUGAGUACCGGAGG
rnacentral:rRNA from 1 species